CUUCACAAGCUGGCAGCACAGCAGGACCGUCCGAUUGUGUGUGUGCGUUUUGUGUUCCAAAAGAAAUUUUGUGUGUGAAAAUUUGGCGACGAAAAAUUGAGAUUUUGAUUACAAUUUCCUACAGAAAAACUGUAAAAUGUGUAGAAAAUUUUAGCUUAAUGAAGUGAUUUUCCAAUCAAAAGGGGAAGAGGAGUCUAAUGAGAAGUAAAUGUUAAUGUGAAGGAAAGCAAAAGUGUUGGAAGAAUCUAAAAAGCAAAAAAAAACGAGACUUGCUACUGAAGCGAAGACAACAAAAGGCGAGAAACGAAUAGUGGCGACAACAAGAACAAACAAGACUUAAACAACAACAAAGUUGAGGCGAAUUAAAUUGUAGAAUGAUAAUCGAAAGCGGCAAGUUAGAAAAAGUGCAAAAGAAAACACACGAAUAAGAAGUCGAAAGAAAACGAGAAGGACUAGCAGCUGGUCGCUCAAUCUGUAAUGCUUCUGCUAACGCCGAUGCGCUAACGCAACUGCAUAAUUCUACUCGUAAUGUGUGUGUACUCUGCCCUGCGACAUCAGAGGCGCGAGCAGCGGCGUUGACUUCGGCGUCGUGGAAGUUGGUGUUGUCGGCAUGUGUUGUGCUAUCGCACUUAUUCGCAGCACGCAAUCUCGUUUGGUCGCUUCUUGAUUUGUUUUGCGGUAGUAUUCGUUCGUGUUAUUGUCGUCGCUGCAUGGAACCUUGGUUUGGUAGGGGGGCUAUUGAAACAAACGAAAAAAAAAUAAAUAAAUAAAAAGCAAAUCAAAUAUCCCCAACAUUCGUGAAAGGCCCCGCAGACAUCGAGGACGUUUUUGUAUGCAUCAACAACGGACUCGUUUAGGUAGCUGUUCGCAUCAGAAUUGAAACAAAAGAAUUAUAAAAGUGCACGAACACUAAAUGGACAAAGAUUAUAAAAGCAUAAUAUUUAGUUGUCUUGAUCGUCGUCAAUGCCAUCGAAAUCGUACGGGUAUUUCAGUCGGCAAUUAGUUAAAUAAAAAAAACGGGUGAACACAAAAAGUGACAAAUGUAAAAUAAAUGUACAUAUACAUAGAUCUAUAGAUAUAAUAUCCAUAUGUAUAUAGAUAUAUAACUAUCUUUAAGUAAAGUUAAUUAAAUUCAUUUGCUAGUGGUUUAAUGUAAAGACACAUACGCACACACACAAACUCAUCCAUCUAUUCUCAUCAACAAAUAUUAUUCACACAUACUAUACCUACGAAGUGGUUAAAUCAUCCGUCGCGUCGCGUGAAAAAUAAUAUUUUAAA